rfam:Nematostella vectensis strain CH2 x CH6 NEMVEscaffold_18_Cont3434, whole genome shotgun sequence.
GGCCGGAUGGUCUAGAGUCAUGAUUCUCGCUUAGGGUGCGAGAGGUCCCGGGUUCAAUUCCCGGUCGGGCCC